AAAUUUCUCCCCUUUCACGCGCUUCUUUGGUCGGGACUCUUUUUCCCUCGCGCCAAAAAUGCGUUAAAUCCGCCGAACAGAAGGAAGGAUUUCGUUAAGUCCGGGAUUUUCCACGAAAAGAGGGAAUUUUCCGUCAGCGGCUUAGAUUUACCGUGAGAUCUAGUUUUGCAUUUUUGGCCGUUUGGCUGGACUUAGCCCAAAACUGCCCCAAAUCUAGCCUAAAUCCUGAAUCCAAACAGCCCCUAAGUCCUCGUCCGUGGCUAAUUGGCAAACAUGUAUUCACCUUUGAGUCCUCUGUGGUCUUCGGAGAUUAUAUUUUUUCUCUGGGAACGAGCUUCAAUCUCCUUGUCAUGCGCGAUUGGACCUUCUCCCUUGUUCUUCUUUACUGCUGUCUGAGCAAUGUUCUUUUUUUUUUUAGUGGAAGCUUGUCGUUCUCCCUCUGGAUGGCAUAUUUCAGUGUGUAACCAGGCAGAGAGCGCUUCGGCUUACCACUGUGACGGCUUGCUCUAAGUCAGGAUAUGCAAUUCUAAAUCCAAAUGCUUGAAAUCAGGGAGAAUGAUGCGCUGGUUUUAUUUCCAAUUGAGGGUGGUGGCUUCUGCAAGUUAGUUUAUCCCUUUGUGAGCUGAAUUUGUUAAGGUACAAAUCCAAGUAGUCUCUCACUUCUUCCUUCCCAAGCCUCUCUUUCCUUAGAAAUCUUCGUGUGGAAAAAUUUCCUCAGCUACAGCUUCUGGUGUUAAACAUCUACUGGACUCUUUGGAACAAUUAGAACUUGAAGAAGUGUCUUAAUAAGUAUUCUGCUCCAAAAACUGCCAGAACACCGUCCCUCUUCGUUUGGACUGUGACUAGCACUUUUUGAGAGCCUGGAUUGCCUUCUUACCUUUCUAUCCUUUCUUCUCUCCACUUGCGUAACAUUUUUAUGGUUCCUGACAUCCACAAAUUACUUUAUGAGACCCACUAUUACUCAAAUGUUGGGCCUGGAAUUAUUUUUUAAUGCUCACUAUUACUCGAAUGUAGGACUCAGGCUAAUAGUUUUUUCCUAUUAUGAGAACCAGUUUUACUCAAACCUUGGAAGUCUAGCUUAGUUGAAAAUAAUCGAAGGAUAUUUUUUCUCUUCCCUAUAUGCUUUUUUGUAUAUUAUAUAUGAAGGGAACUGAAUGACAGGAAAUAUGGCCAUCUCAUCCCUUUUACUUCUUCUAUUUUAAGCAUGAUGUGUUGUCAUAUGGCUGCAAGAUCUGGGAGGUUGUGUGUUUCUUAUCCUCUUAUGUACAAUUCUGGCAACACAACUUAUAUUGGCUAUUAGUUUCAAAUGGUGGUUUCUGAUAAAUGUUGAUGGCUUCUUUUGUGUUUGUGAGUUUUUCCGUUAUGUUUAUCUCUGGUGGUUGGGUUUGGUUCAUCCUCCAUGUGGUUGAUUCAUGCUUCUUUUUCAAUUCGAUGGCUGCUUCUUUAUUCAUGGAUUGAUUUUUUGAGAGGGCUAUGAUGAGUCAUAUAUUCCUAGGGGUUCUCCAGGACUGCCUUUCUUCUGCUAUGCUUUUCUAAAUAUGCCAGAGACGAUGAAACAACCAUAAGCAGAGACAGUGAAUCAGGAUGGCCUUUCUGCUGCUAUGCUUUCAUUGUCUCUGCUUAGAAGGAUGGUCUAUCUUCUCAAAUACUCCUUGUCGUUGAUUCAUACGGUUAACUGAAGCUUUAUUGAAUAUUUUUCCGCUUUUGCUGGAUAGCUUCUCUGUCUUCUAAUGAAUGGAUGACAUUAAAGUUUAAAGGUCGUCACAUGCAUAAAGCCUUAGCUGUCUGCCACUUAGUAUUCUUGUUUUUUCACAAAGCUCCAAAAGCACGUCAAAAUUUGCGGUCUGCAAGCAUCAUCAAUGGACAUUAACCACGAUUAAAUGGAGUUUGUACUCUACAAAUUAAUUGAAACAUGAUAUUUCCUUUCUUGUUUAUUUUGUUGUGUGAUUUUCUUUCUAACAAUAAUAACACAAGGGCAACACCCAUCUGCCAAACACAGAUAUCGAGCUCGAUAUUCCCACCGAACGCCAGCCAUACAGUCAGAUAUUGUUCAAAAUGGUCUGUUGUGCUAAUCUCAACACUGGCUUUGAGUAUCUGAAAGAUCAAGUCUUGUGCUGCAGAUUCUUUUGUGAGCUAGUCAAAACUCAAAAGUGAUUUUUUUUCUUGUCCUCUCAGCGUAGAGAAAUUAUUCGGUGCGGGGUCCGGACGUAGCUCUACGUCCUAACCCUCGCUUCCCAACUUGUUGAAUAUAUAUCCUCUAAUUUCGGUGGACGCGAUGCUUGAAGUGUAUGGUUCUAAUUUUGGGGUUAUGGCUGUUGGUGUUUUUUUUUUUUUUUGGACAGUUAGGCGAAUUAAAGAUGGAAGAUGGAGGUGAGCUGCUUUUUUUUUUUUUUUUUUCAUAUGAUGCUCUCUGAGCAAUGAGCAAUGAUAUUGUUAUUAUUAUUAUAACAAGAUAAAGAAAAGAAGCAACAUUAGUUGAAACUCUCUAAAAUUUCUGCACAGCCUCCUCCAGUCUCUUCAAGUUGGGAUCAAUUUUGAGAGCACGUUUGCCAAUUUUGACAGUCUUUUCUUCAUGGAUUUCAUGAUGGAACGCACCCUUCUCAGCUUCUUGGUUUUCAAGUAGCAAACACUCCACUUAAUUGUGGUUAAUGUCAAUUAAUGAUGCUUGUGAACUGCAAAUUUUUACGUGCUUUUGGAGUUUUGUGAAAAAGCAACAAUAUUAAGUGGCAGAUAACUACGUAUUUCUGCAUUUGACGUCCUUUGGACUUUGAUGUUAGCAAUUCAUUAGAAGAUAGGAAAUCUUGCCAGCAAAAGCAGAAAAAAAUAUUCAAUAAAACUUUAUUAUUAUUAUUAUUAUUAUUAUUAUUAUUAUUAUUAUUUUUAUUUACUUGCUUGAUGUUACGGUGAAGGCUUGAGCUUGUGCUUGCCAAAUAAGCGCGUGACCGCGUCAUAUUUAGAAACCGUUUGGUAACUCAAAUUAUGGUCUGAACUUUUCAAUAGUGUUUCGGGUGCUUGAUUUGGACUCAUUUGGGCUCGGAUUGAAUCGAAUUUGGUGUCGUUGAUUCGUAUUCUGAGACGCUCAGUUUGAUUGUAAGUUCACUGAAAUCGUAGUUUAGUGAUCCCAGAUUUAAUUUUUGAAGUUUCCGGCUUGAUUUUACCUCGAGAUUUGUGCCCUGGUCUAGAUAAUUUUUCGAUGAUAAUAUCAACUCAAAUGUUGGAUUCAAAUAAGUUGACUUUGGGAAAGAACUAAAGGAAAAUUUAUUUUUAUAUUAUUUUUUGGCAUGAACGGAAUUGCAGUUUCUACUUCGUCCAGAGCAUGGUUCUCUUAUCCUCCUAAUCGAGAUCACAUACCAGAAGAAACAACCUGAGUUGCGCAAAAGAUGUGAAUGGAGUUUGUUAUGAUGUGGAUGAAGAAGCCAUCAAUUGAACGUCAUACUCAUUUUAUCGGCACUAAUAUGUACAGCAACAUUUCUCUUCGAUCUAUGUUGGGCCUUGGUGGUAUGCUUAAGACAACUCUUGUGUAAAGUGUUUAUUAAGAUGAAAUGACAGAGGAAUUUGAUCUUAAAAUGUAGAUACGGGUUUCCAACAACUUGAUGUGAAAAGAGUCAUUGUAGUUAUGUUGCAAUAUUUAUACAAUUUAAAAAGACUCAUAACUAAUUAUUUAAUUUCUAGUUGUACUAUUAAUUAGUUGUGUUAUUUUAAUGAAAUUUUAAUUUAAUUAUAUCAUUAAUUAUCUAAUUAGUUAUUUAAAUAUUUUAUUACUAAUUAUUAAUAUCUCCAUUUCUUUGUUACUGCUGUUGCUUUUUCUCCUGAAUUGAAGGUCAAGAUGGGAGCUCGCUCGCUAUGAAGGUAAUCAUCUUUUUUCCCUUUUGCUUGGUUCUGCCCAAAUCCUGGAAAUUUGCUUAUUUGUCUGGAUUUACGACAAAAAGAGGAAAAUUAAGGUUUUAUUUCUUCCUGAUUUAACAUGUCCUUGAAAUACGUUUGGCAGGAUUUAGCAAUAAUCCUGCCUAAAUCCUAUUAGCAAAGCCUCUAAGUGAUCGAAAAAGUGAAAGAAGCUCAUAAUUGCCAUCUACUAGGAUUUGCUACACCUUUUUAUAUUUUUUUUCAUAAAUUGGUAUGGGUUGCCGUGGAUGUUGCAUGGUUCACCUUCUUGCUAUUGAUUGGACUUCUGUAUCUAUAUGUAGGUUUCAACAUAACGUGCUUUAUUCACCAGUUGCUAUAAAAGCCAUGUAGUCCCUAUGAUUGCCUACCCCAUAUGUCCAACUUGAUUAAUAACUUUGUUUUUAUAUCAUAAUUGAUAUUUAUCUGAUUUAUAAAUGAUUUGUAAAUUUAGAUAAAUUAUUAUGUCUAGUGUUUAUUCAUUUUUUUGCUUUAAAAUUGCCUAUGCUAGUCCUAGCUAUGAUGAAGAAGUUAUUUAUGAAGGAACGGAAUGGCAGGAAUUACCAGACCUCCCUCCCUCGAAAUCUCUGUCAAUACUCUACUGCCAUCCAGACUUGUAGGAGCGCUACCGAAAGUUUGUCAGUUCUGAUUGGCACAAGUUUCAGCCAGAGCUGUGGUUGGCAGAGGAUUAAUGGCCAACAUGCAAUACUUAGGCAGGAAAGAGAUGAAGGGAAAUAAUGAAUACAGAUCGAGGUGCCUUCAAUGCCGUUGAAGUUAAAAUAUUGAUGAUUCCCCUCCUACGGUGCCGAUUAUGGAGCACAAAGAACAGCUGAAUAGAAACAUGGGAGGACACAUGGGUGCGUUCUGCAACCACAAAUAUCUUAUAGGGAUCUUUUGUUAUUGUUGCUUUUCUCAAUUUAGCAUUCAUCUAAGGUGAAAAUAUUUCAUGAAGAGCAAUUUUUUAUAAUGAAAGUUAGCUUGAGCUGGCUGUGUGGUGAAUAAGAAGGAAACAUAUGAUCUGGCAUGUCCUUCUCUAAAUGUUCAUAAUUGCUAGCAAGUAAUCUUUACAAUAAAAAGUGAAAACAGAAGAUUAGGUGGAUGUUUACUACACUAA